UACGUAGGGUGCAAGCGUUAAUCGGAAUUACUGGGCGUAAAGCGUGCACAGGCGGUUGUGCAAGACAGAUGUGAAAAUCCCCGGGCUCAACCUGGGAAUUGCAUUUGUGACUGCACGGCUAGAGUGUGUCAGAGGGGGGUAGAAUUCCACGUGUAGCAGUGAAAUGCGUAGAGAUGUGGAGGAAUACCGAUGGCGAAGGCCAGCCCCCUGGGAUAACACUGACGCUCAUGCACGAAAGCGUGGGGAGCAAACAAGG
rnacentral:rRNA from 1 species